CCUACGGGAGGCAGCAGUGAGGAAUAUUGGUCAAUGGACGAGAGUCUGAACCAGCCAAGUAGCGUGAAGGAUGACUGCCCUAUGGGUUGUAAACUUCUUUUAUAUGGGAAUAAAACGUUCCACGUGUGGGAUUUUGUAUGUACCAUAUGAAUAAGGAUCGGCUAACUCCGUGCCAGCAGCCGCGGUAAUACGGAGGAUCCGAGCGUUAUCCGGAUUUAUUGGGUUUAAAGGGAGCGUAGGUGGAUUGUUAAGUCAGUUGUGAAAGUUUGCGGCUCAACCGUAAAAUUGCAGUUGAAACUGGCAGUCUUGAGUACAGUAGAGGUGGGCGGAAUUCGUGGUGUAGCGGUGAAAUGCUUAGAUAUCACGAAGAACUCCGAUUGCGAAGGCAGUUCACUGGACUGCAACUGACACUGAGGCGCGAAAGUGUGGGUAUCAAACAGGAUUAGAUACCCGAGUAGUC
rnacentral:rRNA from 1 species